rnacentral:rRNA from 1 species
UGCUUAACACAUGCAAGUCGAACGAACCUUCGGGUUAGUGGCGGACGGGUGAGUAACGCGUGAGAAUCUGCCCUCAGGAGGGGGAUAACGGUUGGAAACGACCGCUAAUACCCCAUAUGCCGCGAGGUGAAAUGAAUUUCGCCUGAGGAUGAGCUCGCGUCUGAUUAGCUAGUUGGUGGGGUAAAGGCUUACCAAGGCAUCGAUCAGUAGCUGGUCUGAGAGGAUGAUCAGCCACACUGGGACUGAGACACGGCCCAGACUCCUACGGGAGGCAGCAGUGGGGAAUUUUCCGCAAUGGGCGAAAGCCUGACGGAGCAACGCCGCGUGAGGGAUGAAGGCCUCUGGGCUGUAAACCUCUUUUAUCAAGGAAGAAGAUCUGACGGUACUUGAUGAAUAAGCCACG